rnacentral:rRNA from 1 species
GAGAGGGUGACCGGCCACACUGGGACUGAGACACGGCCCAGACUCCUACGGGAGGCAGCAGUGGGGAAUAUUGCACAAUGGGCGAAAGCCUGAUGCAGCAACGCCGCGUGAGGGAUGACGGCCUUCGGGUUGUAAACCUCUUUUAGCAGGGAAGAAGCGAAAGUGACGGUACCUGCAGAAAAAGCGCCGGCUAACUACGUGCCAGCAGCCGCGGUAAUACGUAGGGCGCAAGCGUUAUCCGGAAUUAUUGGGCGUAAAGAGCUCGUAGGCGGUUUGUCGCGUCUGCUGUGAAAUCCCGAGGCUCAACCUCGGGCCUGCAGUGGGUACGGGCAGACUAGAGUGCGGUAGGGGAGA